rfam:Nelumbo nucifera unplaced genomic scaffold scaffold00058, whole genome shotgun sequence
AGGCCAUGAUGAGGAACCCUCCUCAGCAGCUCCUUAUAGUGUUCCCAUGACUCAUAGAGAGAUUCUCCCUCUUGUUGGAAGAAAUUAGUAAUGUCAUUUCUCAUUUU